rnacentral:lncRNA from 1 species
CGGCCCGCCAAUCAGGACGCGCGCGGGCGUUUUGAACGCUAGCGGUUCGCUGCGCUCCUCCGGUGGGAACAGCGCGCAGAGGAGAGCGGCUGAGUGUACAGGGGGCCAGGGCCUGCGCGUCGCUGCGGACCGGGGACAAGACUGAGGUCGAGAGGCUCAAGUCUUGAACACUACUUGGCUUCACACGUACAGGCUAGACUACAGGAUGAUCACUGGAUUACCGGGUGGUGAUCUCUCUCUCUCUGUUGUCAAAGGAUCAGCUACAACUGAAAGUCAGUUAUCUGUGAGUCACUCUGCAAACAGAAUCCAUGAAAGCUGGAACUUUGCUUUGCUCUCAGUGGUCUAGAAACCUGACAGUUUUGUGUCUUUUAUAAAAGAAAACACUAUUCUGUUUUGGAUUAGCAAACUCAUUCUGUAGUGAGAAUAGGAAGGAUUCCUCUCCUCCCCACACAAUGUGGGGGAAGAUGUUCAUCUCUCAGGGCCUUUUCUUUUUUUGAGGGGUUAGGGUUAUGGAAAUAGAAAUGAAAAUUGCCAUCACUGAGCUCUAUAAUUGCAUCUUGGCUCUAUAAUUGACUGACUUCCAUUACUGAUUUUAUCCUCAUUGCAGGGACUCAGACACAAAUCACCCUACCAGACCACAGGGCAGGGGAGAUGACUCAGUGGGUCAAGCACUUGCCAUACAAAAGCAUUAAAAUGAGGGCUAGGGGAGAUGGUUUGGUAGAAAAGUGCUUCCUUUACAAAUGUGAGUGUCCAAGUUUGAAUACCCAGAGCUCAAACUGGGCCUAGUAGCCUGCCUGUGUAAGCCCAGUUUCAACAGCUGGGUGGUAGGUAGGUGGAGACAGGACAAUCUCCUGCGGGUCUGUCAGCUUGACAUACAAAGCAGCAAAUAAGGCAGAAAACAACUAACCUUAGAGUCUGUUCACUGAUCUCCACACAUGUGCCCUUACACACGAACUUGCAUACACAGAUACCUCACACCAAAGGUUAAAAACAAAACCACCCCAAAGAUGGAGAUUUGAGACGCAAAAAGAACUGCAAAGAAUGUAAACUAUGUUAUAUACAAAUGGCCAAAGAAUAAUAAAAAAGACAAUAUCAGGGCUGGAGAGAUGGCUCAGCGGUUAAGAGCACUGACUGCUCUUCCAGAGGUCCUGAGUUCAAUUCCCAGCAACCACAUGGUGGCUCACAACCAUCUGUAAUGGGAUCCGAUGCCUUUUUCUGGAGUGUCUGAAAACAGCUACAGUGUACUCAUAUAAAUUAAAUAAAAUAAAUCUUUAAA